GGGCGCAGUUCACAGACGUCCCCGACUUCCUGAGCCCCAGACCCAGGAUCCAGGAAAGCGGCGUCGGAGGGGGUCUGUCUCUAGGGGUGUGUGUUUCACGUACACAGAUGUGUACACGGUGAACACAUCCCGGCGGAGACACACACACAAGGUAAACAUUCCAACAUGGACACACACAUCUCACACACACACAUGCACACAUGGUGAACGCAUCCCGGCGGGGACACACACACACACGGUGAACACAUUCCGAGACGGACAGACGCAUCUACACACACACACACGGAACACAUCCCAGUGGGGACACACACACCCACGGUAAACACAUCCCAACAGGGACACACACACACACAAACACACAUGGUGAACGCAUCCCAGUGGGGACACACACACACACACACGGUGAACACAUUCUGAGACGGACAGAUGCAUCUACACACACACACACACACGGAACACAUCCCAGUGGGGACACACACACACACACACACACACACACACGGUGAACACAUCCCAGUGGAAGCGCCAGGGCCCCACGCGGGACCCCACGCUGAGAGAGUCUGUGUGGCGGGGACACAGGUCCAGCCUCCCAUGCCUCCGGCUCCUCCUGACGUGGGCUCCCAGCUCACCUGGACCACCCACUCAUGGGGCCGCCUCCCGUCUGGCCCAGCGAGACCCCCGUCCUUCCACGCGUCCGGGUUGAAUGUUCUCGGGAGCAGCGGACGGGAAAGGAGGUCUGGGGAGGGGGCAGGUGUGGACGGACUCACCUGUCAGGUGCUCAAAGUUCCCUUUGCCAAAGACGAGCUUCUUGUCCGGCGUUUUGGUGGACACGACCAUCGUCUGCACCACGGACCAGCCGUCCAGCGUGUGCACCAGUGCCGUGGCCUCUGCUACCUGCCACUCAGCUGCGGGGACACAA
rnacentral:lncRNA from 1 species